CACAUCACUCAGCACAUCUGCGCAUCGAAUGAGAUCCUACAAGUCUUUCAAAAAGCUAGUUGUAAUAUUGUGACUCACUCAUGCGGCGGAAUAUGACCAAUAUUUAUUCAAGUGAUCAACGACUCUACCUGAUCUAAUUAACAAAGGCUUUUGCAGCUCCAGUGUGAUGAGCUCCAUUUUCUACCCUCCUCCUCCUCCCCCUGAAGCACAAUGGGGAGACGUAUUGAUCGUAACCUGACGUGACAGCGCUAUUGAUCGGCAAGCCUGAGAUGAACAGUGAGAGACAGGCAGCGAGCCGUCACUUGCUGGUGACAUCGGGGGUCAAAAAGGGAAACUGGGAAUUCCCUGCUCUCAAUCCCCCGCAAGUACAAGCCUAGCUGCAUCCCAUUGGGCUGCUCGGGAGGGAAAACAGACUUAAGUGAGUUCAACAUGAAUAGUGGUUUUACCUUUUUUAAAACCCAAACUCACUCAAAACCAGAUUAAAAAACAAGAACCCCUGCUCCCUGUUCCAAAGCCUGUUUUAAAACCAUAACUUGAAAAGUAAUAGUUUAAAUAUCCUCCCAAUGAAAUUGCGCGAGGCAUUCACGCUCGAGGAAAAUGAAAUUGAAGUUGGACGGAGCGCGACCACGACAGCCGGCAUCCUCAAAACACGACUCUCACGGACUUUGGCCCGAGUUUAUCUCCCUGGUCCAGUACAUUCACCUUAAUCGUCCACUUCACUCAUAAACCAACAGAAGGUCCACAUGGUCACAGACCCAUGAUGAGCAAUACAUUUUUUAAAAAAGUCAUCAGUCGGUCAAUCUUUCUCACUUUUCAUUUGUUCAAAAUUGAUUUUGUAGUCAGCAUAAACACCCUGAAUAAACAUUGCAUUUCCAUGGGUAAUUUAGUGUGUGUGUGUGUGUGUGUGUGUGUGUGUGAAAAAGAACAACAACAAAAAAACAUGAAAUCACUUGAAAGGCCACUGAUGCUGAUGUUUGUUUCUCCAACAAAUCUUCAUGAGUCAGUGUGACCUGCUGCAUGUUUUAUUGUCAAUUUAUUUUUUCAAUCAUUUAUGUCUUAUCUACCUACUUAUAUAAAGUUUUUUUGCAUUUUUUUCCCCUGAUUUUUGUCUUUUAAAACAUG